UUAUUAAAAAACAAAUUUAUUAACGCCACCCAUUAAUUCUCCCAGCCAAAGAUACCUAUGAAACCCCAAAAUUCGUCUAUGAAGAUUCAAUAUGAUCUAAUAAUCAAAUCAAAAUCAAGAUUUCAAGAAAAAGUUCGUGAAUUGGUGCGAUCAACUAGCAAUCAAAGAUUUGCUAAAUGCCUAUUUUGAGUUUAAAUAGAAGACAAUCGUCUCAUCAAUAUAAAAAGAGCGGUAGGAAGACACAGACAUAACGACAAGAUAAGAAUGUCAGAAUCCUUUAGCAAAUUUACCAAUAAGAAAGGGACGACUGUUAAACUGGACUAGCGAAUCCGAUGAAGGUACAACUGAGGUAUCGUGUAUGGAGUACUAAAUUCAAAAUUUUCCUUUAUAUUUGAGUUAGGUGUUUCUAAAUGUUUGUAAACGGUUGUAAAUAUAGUAUGUGUGGUCUAGUGUACACAUGUUUGUUAAUUUUAUGGACACAUGUGUGGUCUGGUGUACAUAUACGUCUACCAGUCAGUCCACCUAUAUUUAUGUGGUACAAAUGUGUUAUAAUUGUUUACGUAUAAGGUUUGGAUUUUAGAAUGUGUGUUUUGUAUUAGACUAAAACAUAUGUGUUCCACUGCCACAUUGUAACAAAAUUAUGUUUAUGUGUUAUGGCUUUGUUUCUGUUUGGUUUACUUUAAAUACAUAUGGCCUACAUGUCAACAGUGUUUUGUGAUUUGUUAAAGACCCGUCUGAAAAUGAUAUUGUUAUUGUGACAAUGCGAACAGAUAUAAGAGAAUUAUUAUUGGGAUAAGAUGGGAGAGAAUGAAUUAAACACGAACACGAGCAGCUGAUCAAAAGAGAGACAAAGAGAUUAAAUGGAAAUGAAGCAAAUUAGUGGAUGAAAAUAAGGGAAGGGGAAUUAAAAUGAAAGAACGUGGACUAGUGGAACAAACGCUAAGAAAGUCACCAAGGCUCAAAACGAUUGUUAUGGAUGUCAACAACAGAUCCAAGGAACAGGAUGACAGGGAGCCAGGGAAGACAAACUUAAAUAAAAGGGCGUUAGUGAAGAGAAAGGUUGUACAUAUAUUUUUUUCAAGCGGUGGCAGCUUGAUAUAAUUUGAUAUGUGAUAGGUAGUACACAUGUUAUUGUUUGAACUAUAUGGUUUAUGUUGCUCUUGAACAGUUAGUACCCAUGUUUCUGUCGAGGUGCACCUGUAUUUGUAUCUUUCAUAUAUGAUAUGAACACAUGUGACUUAUAAGUA